CGUGGGUAACCUACCCAUCAGAGGGGGAUAACACUUGGAAACAGGUGCUAAUACCGCAUAACAGUUUAUGCCGCGUGGCAUAAGAGUGAAAGGCGCUUUCGGGUGUCGCUGAUGGAUGGACCCGCGGUGCAUUAGCUAGUUGGUGAGGUAACGGCUCACCAAGGCCACGAUGCAUAGCCGACCUGAGAGGGUGAUCGGCCACACUGGGACUGAGACACGGCCCAG
rnacentral:rRNA from 1 species